rnacentral:tmRNA from 1 species
GGGGGCGUUUGGUUUUGACAGCGUAGAUCUUUGAAAGUAGAAGCAUGUUCUGCGUUGCGUAAUUAGCAGAUUAAUCUGAAUACGCAAACUACAAAUGGCAAUACUCAGUAUGCCAUGGCUGCUUAAUCAUUGAUUAGGUAGUCAUUAGGGCCGCCGGGCAGGUUAGCUUGUUACCGCGCCCCGCCGCCGACUCAAAACAAAAACAGGUUGCGGCAGCAAUAGGCUGUGCUUGUUGCCUAAGUACUAUUCAGCUACGGAAUUAAUAGGUUGUCUGUUUCCAGUUAAUUCUCGACAAAUUAAAAUAGAAUAAACAUGUAGAAAACUUUUGAAGAAUAUGUUUGGACACCGGUUCGAUUCCGGUCGCCUCCACAA